CUGCCGUAAACCUAUCUCGGAGCAAGGGACUAGACCUUACUGCUCUUGCACUAAAGACACCAAACCUAAAUAGGGCAGUGGCUCAAACCAGAAGCCAGAUUGCUAACCAAAUGAGGACAGUGCAGAGGCUGAACGGGCCUCGCGUAGGGAAAGCUGCAAGUCAGAACUUGUGGUGCCUCCCCGGACAUGGUGGUGGUAGGGUCUCAGAGGAUUGCGGUGGUUCACCGGACCAGGAAUGGCCUGCUUUUCAGAGCAGAGUACCCUACAGGGGAUGGAGCUGAGAAGCAGGAAGCGAUAGCAGGACUGUGGAUCUGGUGUUUGCUUCUACUGGCUGCUGCAUGUGAAGAUCCUGACCUCAAGGAGUUGGGGGAAGAGCUUGGGAUUCUGUGUAUUGGCUUAAGGAUAAUUUCCACCAUGCAGCAGGCCACGCAGAAGCGUGUCUGCACGUACCUGGGUCCAGGUGCAGCUGGAUGA
rnacentral:lncRNA from 1 species